GUGGAGCAAAGCAAACGCAAUGGGUGCCAUUCUUGGAACAAUUAUUGGUUGUAUUCUCGGUAUUGUAACUUGGCUAUUAGUUACAGUCAUUGAAUAUGGCCAUUUAAAUCUUGACACAACUGGCCGUAAUGCACCAAUGCUGGCUGGAAACCUUGUCUCUAUACUUACAGGUGGAGCUGUUCAUGCUGUUUGUAGUCUUUUGCGGCCCCAAAAUUAUGAUUGGGAUACCACCAGGCAGAUCACAGUAGUUGAAAAGGAAAAAGACGAGCUUCCAGCAGAAGAGUUCAAGGAGGAGAAACUUACCAAAGCAAAAUCCUGGAUAAUUAAAUGGGGUGUCGGUUUCUCUGUUGUGAUUGUUAUAUUAUGGCCUCUUCUCACUCUUCCUGCAGGGGAAUUCAGCUUGGGAUACUUCACAUUCUGGGCAGUAAUUGCUAUAGCAUGGGGCACCAUAGGAUCGGCAGUAAUCAUUGCUCUACCACUGGUUGAAAGCUGGGAAACCAUCCAAAGUGUAUUUCUGGGAAUGUUUACAAAUGACAAGCUUCUGGAAAAGAUGGAGGAGAUGAAUGUCAAACUAAGUACAAUCAUUCAGGCUAUGCCGGAAGCUCAGAAAAUUUACUUGCUCGAGAAAGAGAAAUCCAAAAAACAAGAAACAGCAGAGCACCUGGCUUAAU
rnacentral:misc_RNA from 1 species